AGCUGGAGGCUUUAUGAGCUCAUAACUGUGCUGAUCCUUUGAGUGAUGAUGUAUCACACUGCAUAGUUUCAUAAACUCAUAUACCAUCCUCGAGGCUGGGCAGCACUGGCUUCACCUAAAUGACAUGUUCCUCUGCAUAGGCUUCUAACAUCAUCAGAAUCCCAGGAAAAUGACCCGAUGUCCCUGCAGGCCCCCUACCCUUGCCAGAGGCAGAAGAAAGAAGCGUUCUAAGAAAGGGAGGAAAAGGCAUGGCGGGAGAAAGUCGAAGUCUGGGAGAGCAUCUGAAGCUCACACUGUGUAUUACUACAGGAAGAUAAGAUGAACACCACAAGCUUCCUUUCCCAGUGUGCAGCUGCUUUGGCAAUGUCAUUCAGUACCAACGAGUAUCCUGUCACAUGGGUGAACCCCUCACUCUACAAGCAAAACCAGGUGGACUGACAUUGCAAGAUGCUGAAGUCCUACCAAGAGGAGCAGUCUGUCAUUAAACAUGAAGCCGCAAAUU